rnacentral:rRNA from 1 species
AACGAACGCUGGCGGCAGGCUUAACACAUGCAAGUCGAACGCAUCCUUCGGGGUGAGUGGCAGACGGGUGAGUAACGCGUGGGAACGUGCCCUUCAGUUCGGGAUAACCCAGGGAAACUUGGGCUAAUACCGGAUACGUGCGAGAGCAGAAAGAUUUAUCGCUGAAGGAUCGGCCCGCGUCUGAUUAGCUAGUUGGUGGGGUAAUGGCCCACCAAGGCGACGAUCAGUAGCUGGUCUGAGAGGAUGAUCAGCCACAUUGGGACUGAGACACGGACCAAACUCCUACGGGAGGCAGCAGUGGGGAAUAUUGGACAAUGGGCGCAAGCCUGAUCCAGCCAUGCCGCGUGAGUGAUGAAGGCCUUAGUGUUGUAAAGCUCUUUCGUCCGGGACGAUAAUGACGGUACCGGAAGAAGAAGCCCCGGCUAACUUCGUGCCAGCAGCCGCAGUAA